rnacentral:rRNA from 1 species
GCACACGUGCUACACUGAUGCACCCAGAGAGUGUCCCAUCUUCCCUGGAGAGGUUGGUCAAUCUGCCAACCUGUGUCGUGAUGGGGAUGGAUCAUUGCAACUAUUGCUCCUGAAUUCCUAGCAAAAGCAGGUCAUCAACUUGCAUUGAUUGUGUUCCUGCCCUUUGUACACACAGCCCGUCGCUCCUAGCGAUUGAGUGGUCCGGUGAAAAGUUUGGACCUGCUGUAGCAUCCAGUCGUGGAGCAGCACAGCCAGAAAUUCAGUGAACCUUAUCACUUAGAGGAAGGAG